UCGNCGANUCUGNNAUUGAUUGGUGCUUGCAUCAUGAUUUACAUUUGAGUGAGUGGCGAACUGGUGAGUAACACGUGGGAAACCUGCCCAGAAGCGGGGGAUAACACCUGGAAACAGAUGCUAAUACCGCAUAACAACUUGGACCGCAUGGUCCGAGUUUGAAAGAUGGCUUCGGCUAUCACUUUUGGAUGGUCCCGCGGCGUAUUAGCUAGAUGGUGGGGUAACGGCUCACCAUGGCAAUGAUACGUAGCCGACCUGAGAGGGUAAUCGGCCACAUUGGGACUGAGACACGGCCCAAACUCCUACGGGAGGCAGCAGUAGGGAAUCUUCCACAAUGGACGAAAGUCUGAUGGAGCAACGCCGCGUGAGUGAAGAAGGGUUUCGGCUCGUAAAACUCUGUUGUUAAAGAAGAACAUAUCUGAGAGUAACUGUUCAGGUAUUGACGGUAUUUAACCAGAAAGCCACGGCUAACUACGUGCCAGCAGCCGCGGUAAUACGUAGGUGGCAAGCGUUGUCCGGAUUUAUUGGGCGUAAAGCGAGCGCAGGCGGUUUUUUAAGUCUGAUGUGAAAGCCUUCGGCUCAACCGAAGAAGUGCAUCGGAAACUGGGAAACUUGAGUGCAGAAGAGGACAGUGGAACUCCAUGUGUAGCGGUGAAAUGCGUAGAUAUAUGGAAGAACACCAGUGGCGAANGCGGCUGUCUGGUCUGUAACUGACGCUGAGGCUCGAAAGUAUGGGUAGCAAACAGGAUUAGAUACCCUGGUAGUCCAUACCGUAAACGAUGAAUGCUAAGUGUUGGGAGGGUUUCCGCCCUUCAGUGCUGCAGCUAACGCAUUAAGCAUUCCGCCUGGGGAGUACGGCCGCAAGGCUGAAACUCNNGGAAUUGACGGGGGCCCGCACAAGCGGUGGAGCAUGUGGUUUAAUUCGAAGCUAC
rnacentral:rRNA from 2 species